CUAGAUGUGCUGUCCUUUGUGUCCUAUGUCCUAAGAAGCAGUUCUUUAUCCAAGAAUCUUGCUAUUCUGGUUAUAACUCUGUCCCCAACUUCUGCUGGAACAAUUCCAAUAGAUAAAACUCUUCUAUUAAUACUUUUCAACAAGGCCUCAAUAUGCUAUGUGAUAUGUCAGCUGUUCAUUCCAUAUUCUUCACAAAGAAACUUCCGGAAUGUUCCAGAAGAAGAUUCCCCUGUGACAACACUCAUUCUCUAGUUAGUGCUACUUCAGUUUCACUGCUUCCAUCACCCUUGUAAUUAACACAAAUAGUAACAAAAACAGGUUGCCAAUCCAAUGGGGCCUGCCUGUCUUCCUCUGGGUCCUCUGUUGCUGGCAAGCUGAAUGUCAGGUGAGAAGGGCCACUUGGGUGGCAGUGCUGUUUGGAAGACAAUGUACUGGGAAGAGCACUGAUUUUAGAGACAGAAGCCCAGAUAAGGAAACUGUGACCACCAGCGAGAAAAGACUGGCUCAAGAUCACGGGGCAGAGAAGAGUGCCAGCCGCAGCUUUGCACUCGUGGGUCUGGAGCUCUUUUCACCUCCGCAGGCCUUUAAACAUGGCUGCAGCAGUGCUGUGUCCUGAGACUGGGGGAAGACAGUGAGCCUGAGGGGCACCGUCUCAGCCUACUCCACUCUGCUCAGGCUCCUCUACUGGCAGGCUGCUCUGCUAGUCGGCAAGGCGGCUACCAUGGUGCAAGUCACCCUGAUCUAGCCUAGAAACCAAGGUGCUGAGGGCUAAAAGGCCCAUCUGUUGCAGUCAAUUCACCUAAACAUGUUAACAAGCGAGAGACAUAGCACAAAGCAGCAGUUAUAGCCGGUCCCCUUCUACUGGACAGCUAUUUUACCACUUGCAGCUGCAGUCAUUUGGGGGAGCCUGCUGUGUGUUGCCUCCCUUGGAGCUCCGUCUGCUUCCUCUGCGGGUGCUGCCUGCUGUGUCAGAGCAGCCCAGCCCCACUCCCAGCCCAGCUGGUUGUUACCAGGCCUUUCAAACUCAGGCUGUUUGCAGUGGCUCCUGUGAAAUCCACUGCUUAUCCUUCACAUGAGCCCUGGAGGCUGAGCUGCUGACCUGCUGCUGAGGUCUAUGAGGCUCUUCCUUGGUCCCAGUUAAUAAGACCUGUUUUUUCGAGUGCCCCAGACACUACUUAGGGAGUGACAAAUAAGUCACAAAUGUCCAGAGGGCCUUGGUCUCACUAUUGUGUGAAGAGCAAAGACAGUAAGCUUCACAUGAUUAAAAGUACAAUCUGCUUCCAGCCCUCCUCAACCAACAGCUCUAAUUUAGACUACCAGACAAGGGUUUUCCAGGAAGGAGAUCACCGUGAAUUUAAAGGGAACAACCUCCACACUACUUUCCUGCCUCCAUUUCCCCUCUGGAGCCCAACAAGACCACAGCAAGUUUCCUGAAAGCCCCUGUUUACCUUCAAUAACCUGGCUAUUCUAUGGACUGAAGUGCCAACUUCUUGGCCAAACACAGCUCUUCAGAUUCUGGUGCCAGCUGACCAAUCCAGGAGAGUCUCUGAUUCCAGGCCACAGACAAGAGUUCCUCCAACUGUGCCAUGGCCACAGGUGCCCCAGCGCUUCUGCCUCCCUCUAUGGGGUUGCCUCCGAUACACUGGAGCCAUGGGUCCUCCCAGAGUCCUUCUCUGCAAUCCAGCCCCGGAUGGGGUUCCAACACCCACUCUUUUGACACUCACAGGAGGGAAGCUCAUAAUACCACUUGACACAGCCCCACUCCCAGGUACCUGACUGGAGAUCAUCCAUGGCAGGAUGAGCCCCAUCUUCCCCCAGAAGACAGGGGAUCAGGAAAGAGAGAGAGAAAGGGUUACCUCUGACUGGACCAGAAGAAUACGGCAGCUAGCACUGCCACAUGCACACAUGUACGCACAAAAAAUAAUGAAUCAAGGUCUAACCUCACUGCUACUCAAAAUUAAAGUAGUGCUUCCCUGAUGUCUCAACCUUGAAACCCAUCUCAAUAAGACAGGGAAACAAAAAGAUUGACAACCUUUGAAAUACUAAAAGGUUGCCUUGUGGAAGAGUAAUCAGGCUUUUUUUUUUCUUGUCUCUAAAGCCCCAGAGGGCAAUAUUAUAGUGAUUGGGCAGAAGUUACCAGAAGGAGGAUUUCAGGUCUACACACGAAGGAUUUUUUUUUAAAACAGCUAGAACUGCCCAGGAAUGAAGUGAGCCUUCCCAGGAGGUGGCAGCUUUCUGACUCUGGAUGACCAUCUGUCUGGGAUGUCAUGGUAUGGAAUCCAACAUGAGACAGGGUUGGGCAACACAGCCUCUAGGAGCCCUUUCUGUCCUGAGAAAUGAACAUCCAAUGACAAAUCCAUUCAACACAGAUUCCCUACGAAUCCACCCCAGGUACAGCAUUGUGCAAGCUUCUGAGGAGAAUGCCAAAAAACUAAAAAAAAAAACAAACAAACAACAACAACAAAAAAGUGGUUCCCACCACUGGGAGUUUUACCACAGAGCUGGAAAAACAAUCUGAACACACACAUAGCAUUUAGUAGUGCAAAGCAACAAGUGCUUAAACACACAGUAACCAGCAGGUGGAAGAAAAGGCUGGGAGCUGGCUUUGAAGAGUGAGUCGAGGGAAGACUUUCAGUUUAGAUGAGCAUGGAGUGGGGGGUAAACAAGGCAUGUUUUGGCAGGGAGCAUGGAGAGACAGCAAAUGUGAAUAGUUAAGAUGGAAGCAGGCUGUGAAGAUGCACUGAAUACCAGGAGGAAAUUUAAACUCUGAACGGUGAAUGGUGGCGAAGCAGUGGAUAUUUUCUCAACAGAAAAAACUAAUGAUUAAAUCAAUGUUUUAUGUUGCUUUGAUGACCCAUUUGUGUUGGAAGAAUAUCAUAUACACAUAUAAAUGUACAUAGACACCUAAUCAGAUGGGAUUAUAGGGGAUUUCCAGUUUUCAAUUUUUUUCCAUCAUAUUCAUUCAUACAAACAUUUGACCAUGUAGGAUAUACUAGAUAAAAGCCAAUUGUGUUUAUAUAAUUUUUAUUUUAAAAAUUGUUACUAUUUUCUAGAUUACCUUUUGAAUCAUUUGUCAAGAACUAUCACUUGCCACCGCCACCCCCCCCAGCCCAAGAAAGAUUUGAAUUGCACUGAAAUUAUAGAAUAAGUUACCACAGGACUGACACUUUCUUAAUAUUUAGUUUUUCAGGCAAGAGAGUAGUAUGACUCUUCAUUUAAUCAAAUAUAUUCUUUUUUUUUAGACAGUCUCACUCUGCU